CUUCACCGAGCCGAGCCACAACGGCCGUUCCUGCGGCCGCUCCUGGCCGUAGGUGGCGAGGAGGGCCUGCGCCUC
rnacentral:antisense_RNA from 1 species